UUCUUGCACCAAAAUUAACAUUUCACUGGAGAGGAACUUGUUGACGCACCUGCUAAACCUCUCCACCCUCACCCCCCUGCACAAAAUUCUGCAAGGGCUCCCACUGUCUUUGGAAUAAUUCCGAAUUCCUCACGGUGCCUUCAGGAUCACCCAUAGUGCAGCCGGUUCUCCUUCCUUCUCUCCAUCUUCCUUUGCUCUGCCCAACACAGCAAGCCCCUUUCUGACUCUUCCCCCCCCCCCAAACCUGGUUCUGCCUAUAACAGGGUAACUCAAGCUUGCAGCUGUUAACAUUUUGGAGUGGAUUAUGGGCAGUGUUUCUGGCCUCUGCCCACCAGAUGCCAACAGCAUCUUCUCCAUGGUGGCAACCAAAAUUCCCCAGACGUUGCCAGAAGUGGAGGGAGGAGCGAGGAGGUAGAAGUCAACCGCGCUUGAGAAAGGAGCUGCGCAGGGAAGCCCAGAUCCACCCUGAUGGGGAACCUCCACUCAGUCCUGCUUAAGAGAGUGGGGAGUAGGUAUUUCCAAACUGCACGCCUGUGGGAAGACGUUCAAGUGAAGCCUGAGACGUUUUCUCCGGGUGCUUUCGACCUGCUGAGCAAUGUGGAAGGCGGUGUUAUUAUUCCCCAUUUUAUAUAUGAGCAAGUGAGGGCUCUGAGAAGCUGGCUUGCCUGUGGCCAUGCUGGAAGUGAGGCAUGAAGCCAGGAUUCAAACCCAGAUGCCAGCAGAUACUGAAUGGCUUGUUGGACAACAUGGGGUGAACCGAGCACAGAGGAACUCCCGGGAGUCCAGUUGUCUCAGUUCCCCCGGGGAGGAAGGCCGGUGCACAGGACUUCACUGGUGGUACCCCAGGAAUGAUGACUGCUCUUGCCUCGUCCUAAGCACCAGGCAUCCUACAAAGCACUUGCAGCAAAGUAACCCGGUUCAUCCUCACAGCAGCCUAUGGAGUGGGUCCUCGAUCCGAUGACUGGUGGAGUCUUGGUAUGAAGAGGAGGGGACACAUGACUCCCAGGGAGAAAGACCAUAUGAUGACAAAGGCAGACAUUGAAGUUAAGCUACCGAAAGUCGACAAAGGCUGGAAGUCAUCAGAAACUGGACAAG